ensembl:lncRNA
AUCAGUACUUGUCAGUUAUUCCUGCAGCUCCUUUAAUGUUGCUGUAUGUCUCUUGGCAGCCUCCCUGGUAGGUUUUUGUCUUGUCCUUUAACAAAUGUUGGAGGGACAUCCUGUUCUGUUCUUGUCACUGUGGAGCUCCAUUUUCUGUAUUUGUUGAUUAUGGCCUUUAUUGUGCUGCAUGGUACAGGGUUUUCCCUACUAUAGAAAGGCCUAGGCACAGCACCUAAGUGUUUUAAGCUUUAAGCUGAAUUAAACUGAAAAAGCAUUUAGGAAACAUAUCAAAAUUAAUGCAAAAAUGAAUCCCAUGAGCUGAGAAAAAAAAAAAAAACAGAUGUGAAAAAAACAGAUCUCAAAUGUUAAUCUAGCAACAGGAAUGAGCUGCCAAUCAACAAUCAUUGUUGUGAACGUUUGUGUGAUUGGUGUGUGAUAGAUGUUCUUUGUUAAGUUAAUCAAACAGCUGAUGGGUAGUUAUCUGUAUCGUCACCUUGGGGUGGUAGUUACAGCCAUCGACUUGGAUAAGCAAGUUACAAGCCAUUGAUAAGGUAAGCCUCACCAAAGUAUAAAUGAAGUAUGAACUUUUUGGUUAGGGAGCAAUUCUUGUGGAGGUUAACAAUAGCAAUAACAGAUAGUGACAAUAUAUAACUAAUGUAGCCUAUUUUACAACUAAAGAAAUCACUAGCCUAGCUAACUUGCAUAGAUAUUCAUGUACUGAAUUAAGUUAUGUAAGGCCAACGAAGCUAGUUAGUUGAUGUUACAUAAAGAUACCUCGACUGAAUUAAAGUUAGUAUCUAAUGUGGCUUGGUAGCUAAACAAAGUUAGGCUGUGUUUGUCAUGGCCCCCAGGAACACGAUCCCCCAUCUGGCCUCGCCAUCUUUGUUGAUCCCCCCUCAGGCCUCACUGCGGUCUUUUGCUGUUAGCCUCUCACACUGGUGGUGCUUUCAGCCUUAAGGGGGUGGGGGCUCUGUCAUGGCCCCCAGGGCAAGUUCCAUCUUUGGCUACUAGAGGGCACCCUAAAUGCCGUUUCAUAAUUUCUUCUUCUGUUGUCUCCCUACAUUUUGCAUUUUAACCAUUCUGUUUUCAUUCUCCUGAUUGAUUAGUGCUCUAUUUAAGUUCCCUGUUUUUUCUCCUCGCAUUGCAUCAAGUCAGGUUAUGUUUGUGUUUGAAUGCUCACAUUUGUUAUUGUUCAGUUUAUGCACUGUUUAUUUUGUGUUUUCUUAUGGUUUCUUUCCUAGUUUUACUAAGUUUCUGAUAGCCCCAGUACCUAGUGUGUUUAUUCCUUGUGUUUGUUUGCCUGAGCCUGUUUCCCGGAACCUGUUCCCUGUGUCUGUCUUAAAUAAAG